rnacentral:rRNA from 1 species
AUUGAACGCUGGCGGCAUGCCUUACACAUGCAAGUCGAACGGUAACAGGUCUUCGGAUGCUGACGAGUGGCGAACGGGUGAGUAAUACAUCGGAACGUGCCCGAUCGUGGGGGAUAACGAGGCGAAAGCUUUGCUAAUACCGCAUACGAUCUACGGAUGAAAGCGGGGGAUCUUCGGACCUCGCGCGGACGGAGCGGCCGAUGGCAGAUUAGGUAGUUGGUGGGAUAAAAGCUUACCAAGCCGACGAUCUGUAGCUGGUCUGAGAGGAUGAUCAGCCACACUGGGACUGAGACACGGCCCAGACUCCUACGGGAGGCAGCAGUGGGGAAUUUUGGACAAUGGGCGAAAGCCUGAUCCAGCCAUGCCGCGUGCAGGAUGAAGGCCUUUGGGUUGUAAACCGCUUUUGUACGGAACGAAAAGCCUCUUUCUAAUAAAGAGGGGUCAUGACGGUACCGUAAGAAUAAGCACCGGCUAACUACGUG